CGUCAGGCAUAUUCUGUAGACUACAUAAACUAAAUGAAAAACAUUGAUAUUUAAAGGAGGACCAAACAUAUGGUGGCUUGCCUUUAACACGGAUGGUUAAAAUGUUAUAUAUGUAAGAAAUGUAGUUAAUGUACCUCUUAGCCAUUUCGUCUUUUAAUGCUAGAACCAUCGAUUUAUAAUUAGCCUGCAUAUUAUUUUAGAUCAGAGGUUGGAACUUGGAACCCAGAACCCAACCUGACGUCAUCGCAACAAACUCUCACUGCGCAUGCGCGUGAACUAUAAAAGGCAGGAUCGCGCGUUUGUUCUUCCCAGUUCCGUCUUUCUUGUGAAGGUAUGUGGGCUGUUGGACCAUGGAGGUUUCCUACAGUGCUUCCUCAGAUUUUGAUCAUACUGGAGCCAAAUGGAUGACCUUAAAUUCAUCAGACUUCGUUUCAUAAGUCUUUAACUCCCCAAAACAGGUGAGACUGAGUGUGUUCUUAGCACAACUGGCUGCCAUUCACACGGUGCAUGUGAUGACUGAUCUUUUUUCCCCAGCAGAUCGAUAGUGUUGACAUUUGCUCUAAACUUUAAGCCAAUUUCUCUGAAGCACCAUUAGAAUCGCUUUGCAUACAUAGUGGUACUUUUCUUGUUCUGAAGUCCUUUUUUAUGUCUUUCCAAAAAAAGGAGAAUUCUGUAAUUCAAGAGGACCACACAAUGAGAGACCCUUGACGAAUGGCCACAUGUGAAGGUAUUUAUUUUUUUCCAAGAGUGUAUUUUAUUUUUCCCAUUCUCCAGCUUAAAUGUGAAGUAAAAUCUAAUGGUUUCUUCCUUUUCUAGGUGUUUGAGCGACCUGUGUUCCUGAAUGCCCUUCAGUGCCAAGCCCACGUGGAGCAGUGGAUGACAUACACGAGGGGUUUUCUCAAAGCAGACUAGUGUUUACCAGCCAUAGGAGAGGAAAUACCUUCUGAGAGUAUUAAAGUUGCUAUUACUUUGACCUACUAGUGUUCCAACGUGCUUUUUGAGGCAUUCAAGUUUGUUCAACUUUAAUUUCUCAGAAUGCUUUCACUAAUUAUUGCUUGUAACUUGUUGGUUCUAUGCUUGUGUAAAUGGUCUUUCAGCAGGCAGUUACCUCUUUUACUGUUUCAAUAAAACUAGUUAAUGACUUUGCA
ensembl:lncRNA